AGUGAACGCUGGCGGUAGGCCUAACACAUGCAAGUCGAACGGCAGCACAGUAAGAGCUUGCUCUUACGGGUGGCGAGUGGCGGACGGGUGAGGAAUACAUCGGAAUCUACUUUUUCGUGGGGGAUAACGUAGGGAAACUUACGCUAAUACCGCAUACGACCUACGGGUGAAAGCAGGGGAUCUUCGGACCUUGCGCGAUUGAAUGAGCCGAUGUCGGAUUAGCUAGUUGGCGGGGUAAAGGCCCACCAAGGCGACGAUCCGUAGCUGGUCUGAGAGGAUGAUCAGCCACACUGGAUCUGAGACACGGUCCAGACUCCUACGGGAGGCAGCAGUGGGGAAUAUUGGACAAUGGGCGCAAGCCUGAUCCAGCCAUACCGCGUGGGUGAAGGAGGCCUUCGGGUUGUAAAGCCCUUUUGUUGGGAAAGAAAAGCAGCAGGUUAAUACCCCGCUGUUCUGACGGUACCCAAAGAAUAAGCACCGGCUAACUUCGUG
rnacentral:rRNA from 1 species